rnacentral:rRNA from 1 species
CUGGUUGAUCCUGCCAGUAGUCAUAUGCUUGUCUCAAGACUAAGCCAUGCAUGUCUAAGUAUAAGUAUUAUACAGCGAAACUGCGAAUGGCUCAUUAACAGUUAUAGUUUAUUUGAUAAUCGAAUUUACAUGGAUAACCGUGGUAAUUCUAGAGCUAAUACAUGCUGGUAUGCCCGACUUUUGCGGAAGGGCGGUAUUUAUUAGAUAACAAGCCAAUAUUCCUUUGGUCUAUUGUGGUGACUCAUGAUAACUGAUCGAAUCGCAAGGCCUAUGGCCGCGAUAAGUCAUUCAAGUUUCUGCCCAUCAGCUUUUCGAUGGUAGUGUAUUGGACUACCAGGCGUUUAACCGGGUAACGGAGGAUUAGGGUUCGAUUCCGGAGAGGGAGCCUGAGAAACGGCUACCACAUCUAAGGAAGGCAGCAGGCGCGUAAAUUACCCAAUCCUGACUCAGGGAGGUAGUGACAAAGAAAUAACGGACCGAGGUCUUACGGCUUCGGGAUUGCAAUGAGCCGAAUUUACACCCCUUAACGAGAAUCGAUUGGAGGGC